GAUGAACGCUGGCGGCGUGCCUAAUACAUGCAAGUCGAGCGAACGGACGAGAAGCUUGCUUCUCUGAUGUUAGCGGCGGACGGGUGAGUAACACGUGGAUAACCUACCUAUAAGACUGGGAUAACUUCGGGAAACCGGAGCUAAUACCGGAUAAUAUUUUGAACCGCAUGGUUCAAAAGUGAAAGACGGUCUUGCUGUCACUUAUAGAAGGAUCCGCGCUGCAUUAGCUAGUUGGUAAGGUAACGGCUUACCAAGGCAACGAUGCAUAGCCGACCUGAGAGGGUGAUCGGCCACACUGGAACUGAGACACGGUCCAGACUCCUACGGGAGGCAGCAGUAGGGAAUCUUCCGCAAUGGGCGAAAGCCUGACGGAGCAACGCCGCGUGAGUGAUGAAGGUCUUCGGAUCGUAAAACUCUGUUAUUAGGGAAGAACAUAUGUGUAAGUAACUGUGCACAUCUUGACGGUACCUAAUCAGAAAGCCACGGCUAACUACGUG
rnacentral:rRNA from 1 species